AGGACGAACGCUGGCGGCGUGCUUAACACAUGCAAGUCGAACGAGGCCCUGCCUUCGGGCAGGUGACCUAGUGGCGAACGGGUGAGUAACACGUGGGCAACCUACCCUCAGCUCUGGGAUAACCCCGGGAAACCGGAGCUAAUACCGGAUAUGACCUGGAACGACAUCGUUCUUGGUGGAAAGUUUUUCGGCUGAGGAUGGGCCCGCGGCCUAUCAGCUUGGUUGGUGGGGUAAUGGCCUACCAAGGCGACGACGGGUA
rnacentral:rRNA from 1 species